UACGUAGGGUGCGAGCGUUGUCCGGAAUUACUGGGCGUAAAGAGCUCGUAGGUGGUUUGUCGCGUUGUUCGUGAAAUCUCACGGCUUAACUGUGAGCGUGCGGGCGAUACGGGCAGACUGGAGUACUGCAGGGGAGACUGGAAUUCCUGGUGUAGCGGUGGAAUGCGCAGAUAUUAGGAGGAACACCGGUGGCGAAGGCGGGUCUCUGGGCAGUAACUGACGCUGAGGAGCGAAAGCGUGGGGAGCGAACAGG
rnacentral:rRNA from 1 species